rnacentral:lncRNA from 1 species
GGAUUUAGUAUUUUAUAUAUAGGUUUAUGCGUUUUUUAUUUUUCUUUGUAGGAACCCUACAAUUUUCUACGGCACUACAAUUAGGAACCAAAACUAAAAGGAUGAGUAGUCCCACCAAUUGCGAUGCACUUAUCAAGCCAACUAGGUAACCUCUUUCUUUUAUAAUUUUAGUUGCACAUUAGGGAAAAUGUACUGUAUAAAGUGUG